GCUGAGGAGUGAUGACAAUAAAAGGCCGAAUUGCAGUGUCUGUUAAGGUUUCUCUCCCAAGGCACAAUGACAAAUCUGCUGAAGCGACUUUGUCUGACCUCAGU
rnacentral:snoRNA from 1 species